rnacentral:rRNA from 1 species
CGGACUGGUGAGUAACGCGUGAGGAACCUGCCUUUCGGAGGGGGACAACAGUUGGAAACGACUGCUAAUACCGCAUGAUACAUUUGGGCCGCAUGGUCUGAAUGUCAAAGAUUUAUCGCCGAAAGAUGGCCUCGCGUCUGAUUAGCUAGUUGGUGGGGUAACGGCCCACCAAGGCGACGAUCAGUAGCCGGACUGAGAGGUUGGCCGGCCACAUUGGGACUGAGAUACGGCCCAGACUCCUACGGGAGGCAGCAG